rnacentral:rRNA from 1 species
UACGAAGGGGGCUAGCGUUGCUCGGAAUUACUGGGCGUAAAGGGCGCGUAGGCGGCACUGUUAGCCAGGCGUGAAAUUCCUGGGCUCAACCUGGGGACUGCGCUUGAUACGGCGGAGCUAGAGGAUGGAAGAGGCUCGCGGAAUUCCCAGUGUAGAGGUGAAAUUCGUAGAUAUUGGGAAGAACACCGGUGGCGAGGGCGGCGAGCUGGUCCAUUACUGACGCUGAGGCGCGACAGCGUGGGGAGCAAACAGGAUUAGAUACCCUGGUAGUCCACGCCGUAAACGAUGUGCGCUGGAUGUUGGGUGGCCUAGCCACUCAGUGUCGUAGCUAACGCGGUAAGCGC